ACAGAAUAGGUCCCCAGUAACCCUUGUCUCUCUGGAUGUUCCAGUACAGAAUAGGUCCCCAGUAACCCUUGUCUCUCUGGGUGUUCCAGUACAGAAUAGGUCCCCAGUAACCCUUGUCUCUCUGGGUGUUCCAGUACAGAAUAGGUACCUAGUAACCCUUGUCUCUCUGGGUGUUCCAGGACAGAAUAGGUUCCCAGUAACCCUUGUCUCUCUGGGUGAUCCAGUACAGAAUAGGUCCCCAGUAACCCUUGUCUCUCUGGGUGUUCCAGUACAGAAUAGGUCCCCAGUAACCCUUGUCUCUCUGGGUGAUCCAGUACAGAAUAGGUCCCCAGUAACCCUUGUCUCUCUGGUUGAUCCAGUACAGAAUAGGUCCCCAGUAACCCUUGUCUCUCUGGGUGUUCCAGUUCAGAAUAGGUCCCCAGUAACCCUUGUCUCUCUGGGUGUUCCAGUACAGAAUAGGUCCCAGGUAACCCUUGUCUCUCUGGGUGUUCCAGUACAGAAUAGGUCCCUAGUAACCCUUGUCUCUCUGGAUGUUCCAGCACAGAAUAGGUCCCCAGUAACCCUUGUCUCUCUGGGUGUUCCAGUACAGAAUAGGUCCCUAGUAACCCUUGUCUCUCUGGAUGUUCCAGUACAGAAUAGGUACCUAGUAACCCUUGUCUCUCUGGGUGUUCCAGUACAGAAUAGGUCCCUAGUAACCCUUGUCUCUCUGGAUGUUCCAGUACAGAAUAGGUCCCUAGUAACCCUUGUCUCUCUGGGUGUUCCAGUACAGAAUAGGUCCCCAGUAACCCUUGUCUCUCUGGAUGUUCCAGUACAGAAUAGGUCCCCAGUAACCCUUGUCUCUCUGGGUGUUCCAGUACAGAAUAGGUCCCCAGUAACCCUUGUCUCUCUGGGUGUUCCAGGACAGAAUAGGUCCCCAGUAACCCUUGUCUCUCUGGGUGUUCCAGGACAGAAUAGGUCCCCAGUAACCCUUGUCUCUCUGGGUGUUCCAGUACAGAAUAGGUCCCCAGUAACCCUUGUCUCUCUGGGUGUUCCAGGACAGAAUAGGUCCCCAGUAACCCUUGUCUCUCUGGGUGUUCCAGGACAGAAUAGGUCCCCAGUAACCCUUGUCUCUCUGGGUGUUCCAGGACAGAAUAGGUCCCCAGUAACCCUUGUCUCUCUGGGUGUUCCAGUACAGAAUAGGACCAUAGUAACCCUUGUCUCUCUGGGUGUUCCAGUACAGAAUAUGUCCCUAGUAACCCUGGUCUCUCUGGGUGUUCCAGGACAGAAUAGGUCCCCAAUUUACAUGACAGCCCAUCGUUCCUUGCAGAAUGUUACAAUUGUCUUGUUACUAGUUCCAUUGUAGUUAGGUCCCAGUGCCUUCAUUUCUGCAAAGGUGUGGGGGGGUAGCCUAGUGGUUAAAGCAUUCACCUGUCCCUGCAAAGGUCUGGGUUCGAUUCCCCACAUGGGUGAAAUGUGUGAAGCCCAUCACCCACCAUGAUACUGCUGGAAUAUUGCUGAAGGUGGCACAAAACUAAACUCACUCACUACUGCCAGUCCUUUUGCUAAUUUUAUAAGUAACAAGACUGCCUAUUACUGUGAAUACAGAAGUUGGAAUAUUCCAGACUUCAGCAUUGAUCAAGAAAAACAGGCCCUUACGUGAGGAAACUUGUAGUGUCCAUUAUUUUUGUACCUGGAGGAUAUUGUUGAUGUUCAAUAGUUUCACAAUCUUUCUGUAUUAAUGUGUAUGUACUUAAGUUACCAUUUAGUAUUGUUUUGUCAUUGGAACAUUUCUAGCCUACCAAAUUGUACUGUAUGUAUGGCAGAUUAUCCCACGUCAGUUUACUGUGUGAGAAGUAAGGUAUUGGUGUUCCCCGCCUUGAUCCAGCUGGGAUAAGAGUGCUAAUGUGUCUCACUGACUCACUAUGAUGAUAGGAAUGCAUCUAUAUCUGUAUCACAUGCAGGAGUGUGGCUGGCUCAGUCAGACAAAGCUGCAAGAUUUGCCUCCCUUAGUUGUGCCAGAAUCUGAUGAUGGGUUUGCCAUCUUUAUGGUUCAUUUGUCAGCUCCAUGAACUUACAUGUGGAUUGAAUUUUCAUUAGGGCCUGUAUCUAUUCUGGAUUUCCGCCUGGUCCUCUUGCAUGUGGUGGAUUGUGUGACGGGGUGGUGGAUUGUGUGACGGGGUGAUGUAUUAACCAUGCAGCAAUCUUCUCUCUACGUUUGCCGUAUGAUCAAUUUAAAUGUUUACUGAUUGUUAUAAGGGCCCAGUCCAUUAUUGUAGGGGUGGGUGGAUCAGAGGGUCAUGAAAAUAUUCAUACUCUCCUUGUGAUAUGGGUUUUCAUGAGCUUGAGAGAAGCUAUUAUUUUCAUGAUUAUCGUAAUUGUACCAAUUGUAAAACUCGUCAAUAACUUAUUGAAGACAACUUUAUCUUAAACACGUCAUCAUUUGAGUAUUUGUCUCGUUAUAGCGAGAAAAACAUUGCUGUCCAAAAACACAUAAUCUGACAAUAAAAGUGCUUUUGUAUUUAGUCUUUUCAAGGACAUGGGGAAGGUCAUAAAAAUAUAGCACAACCAAUCGGAGAGGGUCAGCAUUCACACUAAUGCAUCCAACCUAUAAUAAAUGACUGGUCUGUUUUUACCAAUAUAUGAUAAUCUCACUAGUACUAGACAAUCAGCUCUUUCCAUUCAGUUUAUGAAUAAAAAGGAAAUAACUUUUCCACACAAAUGAUGUUAUUUUUUCAAUGUAACAUUGAGAAACAUGGUUAUUUGCACAGUACUGUUUCCAGUGAAAUCACCUGUUCUGGUUCAUACUCAUUGUUAGAAAAGCAAGUUGUCGUAUUUCUAGGGGUAUACUGUUGGGAUGUUGGACAUUGUUUUCAUGUGUCUGUUUUGCACUGUAAGCUAUGGACAGGUUUUAAUGCAAUAAAUAAUUGAAUUCUU
rnacentral:lncRNA from 1 species